rnacentral:lncRNA from 1 species
CCCGGAGAACCGCACCCGCCAUCCAAGUGACAGAGGUCAGCCCAGGACUGGGAGAGCUUGGAGGAGGGGCCGCCUACCUAGAGAGAACAGGGGCCGUUCCUCGGGGCACGACGCUGGCUCCUGCACAGAUCCUGCUCCUUUGUGGCCUUCCUGGGCUGCCCUCCCCUCCUCCAGGACUGGUGAGCCGGGAGGCUGCCCUAACCCUCUGGUCUCAGACCCCUGCUCCCAGCCCCACCCCUGCUUCCU